rnacentral:rRNA from 1 species
AAGGAGCUUGCUCCUUUGACGUUAGCGGCGGACGGGUGAGUAACACGUGGGUAACCUACCUAUAAGACUGGGAUAACUUCGGGAAACCGGAGCUAAUACCGGAUAAUAUUUCGAACCGCAUGGUUCGAUAGUGAAAGAUGGUUUUGCUAUCACUUAUAGAUGGACCCGCGCCGUAUUAGCUAGUUGGUAAGGUAACGGCUUACCAAGGCGACGAUACGUAGCCGACCUGAGAGGGUGAUCGGCCACACUGGAACUGAGACACGGUCCAGACUCCUACGGGAGGCAGCAGUAGGGAAUCUUCCGCAAUGGGCGAAAGCCUGACGGAGCAACGCCGCGUGAGUGAUGAAGGUCUUCGGAUYGUAAAACUCUGUUAUUAGGGAAGAACAUACGUGUAAGUAACUGUGCACGUCUUGACGGUACCUAAUCAGAAAGCCACGGCUAACUACGUGCCAGCAGCCGCGGUAAUACGUAGGUGGCAAGCGUUAUCCGGAAUUAUUGGGCGUAAAGCGCGCGUAGGCGGUUUUUUAAGUCUGAUGUGAAAGCCCACGGCUCAACCGUGGAGGGUCAUUGGAAACUGGAAAACUUGAGUGCAGAAGAGGAAAGUGGAAUUCCAUGUGUAGCGGUGAAAUGCGCAGAGAUAUGGAGGAACACCAGUGGCGAAGGCGACUUUCUGGUCUGUAACUGACGCUGAUGUGCGAAAGCGUGGGGAUCAAACAGGAUUAGAUACCCUGGUAGUCCACGC